UUAACUACCUGACAAGGGAGAUACUACGAUCAUGGAAGUGGUUUUCCCAGGGCAAGCCUUAUCCAUUGCACUCCAGAUGUGCUGACUCCUGCAGUUUCCC
rnacentral:snRNA from 1 species